rnacentral:lncRNA from 1 species
AAGAGGGGAGACCGCGCGUCCCCCUGUCGCAUUGUGCCGCCGCCGCUCGCGGGAUGCGGACGAGUCUGUUGAGUGUGUUGUGCCGUCUGCCGUCUCCUCUUCGGGCCAUGAACGCAGGAUGCGAGACUCGACAGGCGACGGGCGACUCAACCGCUCAAGAUGUGUAGAAUGUGGAUGGCGUGGGAGCG